UAGCACAUGGCGUAGUGGUUUGGGUGCUGGACUAGGACUUUGGAGACCAGGGUUCGAUUCUCAGCUUGGCAC
rnacentral:tRNA from 1 species